rnacentral:rRNA from 1 species
CCUACGGGGGGCUGCAGUGGGGAAUAUUGGGCAAUGGAGGCAACUCUGACCCAGCAACGCCGCGUGAAUGAUGAAGGUCUUCGGAUUGUAAAGUUCUUUUCUAAGGGCAGAAGAAAGUGACGGUACCUUAGCAAUAAGCCUCGGCUAACUACGUGCCAGCAGCCGCGGUAAUACGGAGGAGGCAAGCGUUAUCCGGAAUGACUGGGCGUAAAGGGUGCGUAGGUGGUUUGACAAGUUAGUAGCGCAACUCCGGGGCUCAACUUCGGAACUACUACUAAAACUGUUGGACUUGAGUGCAGGUGGGGCAAUCGGAAUUCCUGGUGUAGCGGUGGAAUGCGUAGAUAUUAGGAGGAACACCAGUGGCGAAGGCGGAUUGCUAGACUGUAACUGACACUGAGGCACGAAAGCGUGGGGAGCAAACAGGAUUAGAUACCCCAGUAGUC